CUAACCUGCACAAUGUGCACAUGUACCCUAAAACUUAGAGUAUAAUUAAAAAAAAAAAAAAAAAAAAAAAAAAAAAAAAGAAAAUGGUUUGACAGUUUCUUAAAAGUUAGCAACAGGCAGCCGGGCCCGGUGGCUCACACCUGUAAUCCCAGCAUUUUUGGAGGCCAAGGCAAGCAGAUCACGAGGUCAGGAGUUCAAGACCAGCCUGGCCAACAUAGUGAAACCCCGUCUCUACCAAAAAUACAAAAAUUAGCCGACGUGGUGGCAUGUGCCUGUAAUACCAGCUGCUCGGGAGGCUGAGGCAGGAGAAUCGCUUGAACCCAGGAGGCAGAGGUUGCAGUGAGCCAAAACCAGACCACGCCAUUGCAUUCCAGCCUGGGUGACAGAGUGUGACUCCAUCUCAAAAAAGAAAAAAAAAAAACAUUAGCAACAGGCUGUGCGUGGUGGCUUACACCUGUAAUCCCAGCACUUUGGGAGGCCAAGGCGGGAGGAUCACCUGAGGUCAGGAGUUUGAGACCAGCCUGACCAACAUAGUGAAACUGCAUCUCUACUAAAAACACAAAAAAUUAGCUGGGCGUGGUGGCACACACCUGUAAUCCCAGCUACUUGGGAGGCUGAGGCAGGAGAAUUGCUUGAGCCUGGGAGGCGGAGGUUGCAGUGAGCUGAGAUCGCG
rnacentral:lncRNA from 1 species